AUACAGAAAAUGGAAUUACGACCAAUUUGUCGGUCCCAAUUGAGGCCGUAAGUUGGCGACUACCUGUAUUUACUAACAGUAAUUAACUUUAGAAUUUUUAAUUACUUUCGAAUAUCUUACUGUUUUAAUUGGCUUUUCCUCUUUAAUUCACAAACUCCAUUUCUCUGAAAACUACAUACAGACCAGUUUGGAUGCAGUUUUGCCAAGGCUAUGGCUUUUCUUUUUUGUUCCAAAGAAAUAAAACUUUUUCCUUUUUUUCUGUGGAGAUUCCAAAUAAUCAGAAUCAGACGUACUGAUCUCUUCUGCAGUAUUAUCAGACGUCUCACUCUCUUCAUUUGCCAAAACUAAUUCUUCUUCCUCAACUAAUUUCAUUUCCCGAUCAUGUCCAAAAUUUGGAAGUACAAUUCCUUUGACACUGCCUCUGUUGCUGGGGUAAAAACUUACAAACUUAUUGUCUUUGGGAUGAGAUCGUCAUUCAUCAAUAACUUUUCACAUUGCUUUAAGGCGAAUGCUAAUUCUAUUUUUGAUUGUUCCUCGGGAGCCACAUCUCUUGACGAAGUUGCACAUAACUCCAUUACAAUUGCAUUUUGCAAUUAUGCCUGGCUAAAACGAUGACACUUGUUUAGAAACUAGAAACUAACAGUAAAACGACGAUGCUGGUUUCAGUUUCACAAAUGUAUAAGAAAAUUGAAA
rnacentral:lncRNA from 1 species